rnacentral:rRNA from 1 species
AUUGAACGCUGGCGGCAGGCCUAACACAUGCAAGUCGAGCGGAGCGGCGGACGGGCGAGUAAGGCCUAGGAAUCGGCCUGGCAGUGGGGGAGAGGGUACGGAUACGGGCGGUAAAAACGAACCCUCUCAGUAGUGCCUAGGUCGGAUUAGCUAGCUGGUGGGGUAAAGGCCUACCAAGGCGACGAUCCGUAACUGGUAUGAGAGGAUGAUCAGUCACACUGGGACUGAGACACGGUCCAGACGCCUACGGGAGGCAGCAGUGGGGAAUAUUGGACAAUGGGUGAAAGCCUGAUCCAGCCAUGCCGCGUGUAUGAAGAAGGUCUUCGUGUUGUAAAGCACUUUAAGUUGGGAAGCGUUACCAACAGAAUAAGCACCGGCUAACUACGUGCCAGCAGCCGCGGUAAUAC